GACUCCUACGGGAGGCAGCAGUAGGGAAUUUUCCGCAAUGGGCGCAGGCCUGACGGAGCAAUACCGCGUAGGGGAUGACGGCUUACGAGUUGUAAACCCUUUUUUUCAGGGAGGAAGAAAAUGACGUGUACCUGAAGAAUAAGCAUCGGCUAACUCCGUGCCAGCAGCCGCGGUAAU
rnacentral:rRNA from 1 species